GUCUAAUUGACUGAAUUUGCAUCAAACUUCUUUUCAAAUUUAAUUUGAAUCAAUUUUUUUUUUCAGUGUCAUUUGAUGAAGGUUAAUUUGUUAUGCGGAGUGGAAUUUUAUAUUGGUGUUUGUCUGAAAUUGAGAUAAAGGAAGAAACUGGUGAGCAUCAAAUCUCAAGAUUAGAAACGGCCCACAUAGUGCUUGAUCUCUCCAAUCAUGUAGCAUUUCCAUCAACUCAAGCAUCACUUGCACCACCAGAAAGAUACUGAAUCGUACCUGACGUGGUGGAAGAGAAUUCUGAGAGUUUCAUGAUUGUUUCUCAUUAUUGUAAAAAUUUUAUUUGUAAAUAUUGUAUCGCGUAUCUCUAUCUCAUUGUUUAAUAUUUUUUGUUAAUUUUGUAAUUAAAUUUCUUUCUUCUAUAUAUGUUUCAAAUUAGUAAAUA